ensembl:lncRNA
UGCAGGCUGCUGUUUAUCAGUGGCGGCUGCUGCUGCUAUCAGUAACACAGCUCAUCAUUCACUGCCACAUUGUUCCAACAAACAAUGGGCCCGUGUUCGCAGUGUGCACUACAGAAAUCUGAUUUACUGAUCAAUGGCCUUGAUGGUUUUGUCUUCCACACAAUGAGCCGUGAUGAGACUGUGACAAGCUGAAGGUGGAACAAUGGCAGCCAGGAGUUUUCUACUUCACCUGCAUUCUUUCUUGUUUUCAUUUGGCCUCAUAUGCAAAAAUAAGUUUGUCUCCAACUGUCGCUGUGAACACAGUUUUCUGAGCAAACUUGGCUUGAACUUCGAUCCAGUGAAGCGCUCUCCGUUGGUUGAGUGGCAGCAGUUGGAUCCUCACAUGGCUGUUUGUCAUUCUCUGCAGGUUAAACCCCCGCUGGGCACAGAACACGGCUUCUGGGCCACGCGUCCACGCGAAGGAUUUGUUGUCUGUGCUGCACAGACACCACAGAAGAAGAGUUUUCCGUCCGUCUUUCCGUCCGUCCGUUCGUCCGUCUGUCCGUCGUUCCGUCCGUCCGUCCGUCCGUCUUUUCGUCCGUCGUUCUGUCCGUCCGUCCAUCCGUCCGUCUGUCCGUCGUUCUGUCCGUCUGUCCAUCGUUCUGUCCGUCUUUCCGUCCGUCUCUUCGUCCGUCUGUCCGUCGUUCUGUCCAUCUGUCCGUCCGUCCGUCUUUCCGUCCGUCCUCAUGCCUGUCACGCCUCAGCGCCGCUCUCUGAAUGGAUGCCGCUCGCUCCGCAGACUCGUGGAUCCUUCAUCAGUCACACACGCUUGUGUUUUUCCAGGAGGAGGAGGAAGAGACGGAUGCCACCUGGGUUCCCGCUCACCGUUCGUGAGGCGUUCAGGGGCCGGUGCUUUCUGUUCAGAUCAGAACUCUUCCUUCAAGAAACCCACGAAUCGAUGGACAGUGAAGGAGGAUUAAGAGAAUUCAACCAGAAAAAAGGAAGCGUGUGUGGUCCAACACAGCCAUUGGUCCCUCUGAGCCAGAUAGUAAUGAUCUCAGAGAAAAAAACGAAAGUGAACCAAAACUGAACCAGAACUGGACCCGUGUAACAGAGAGAAGGGAAGAUAACGGACGCUUUACAGCGAGAGGAGGAGUGUGAGGAAGGAGCAGGAGGAGCCUGGGAGCCAAGAGAGAAGAAGAAGAUUUGCCUGCUCUCCUAAAACACAGCACCUAAAGACAAAGAGAGCAGCAGGUCCAGUCCACAACGGUCAGAACCGGGUCGCCUGCAAACGGCAGGACACGAGCAGAUGUUACUAAAUGAUCAGCAGCAGACGUGGCUCUGCUCAGUAAUGGACCCAGGACUUAGACCAAUACCAAAGACUCAUCAGCAACACCAGAUUCACGCUGCUGCUGGUAUCGUUAUUGUGGUGAUGCAUUCUGGGUAAUGGCAACACACGUUUGAAAGGGUUGCGACUCUGCCGUCGUCAUCAACAAGGAUGCAGCCAGUCAGAGACGCUUCAGUUUGAUGUGGGGCUCCAGCCUCCUGCACAUAUAAAUUACAUCCAGUGAAUUAUAAAAGGAUCCAUGUUUCUCAGCAGACAGACUUUCUCUCUCUCUCUCUCUCUCUCUCUCUCGCUCUCUCUCUCGCUCUUGCCGUCUAGCUGUCUCUCUCUCUCUCUCUCUCUUCAAG